CAUCACUGAGGGCUGCCAAGGCGCACUGCCUUCAGGAGAGAGAACACAGAGUGAGCCCAGCACCGUACCUUUAACCCUACCACAGGCAGGGGAGGGGACAGCCCUGCGUCUCCUCCCUUUUCAGACAUCAGCUCGUGACUCUCAUCUGCUGUGCCCCCGGCUGCCAGGUUUUCUGAACGCUACUUUCCUUGGUUGUCUUAUCAGGACCCCCGUCACUCUGCCAUGUUGUGACUCCUAAAUGUCAUGCGUGGUCUAUGAUCACCAGGGGUAGCCUGGAGUAGACACAGAGGACCUCUACGCCACGUGACAGUCCCCGACGCGUCCUGGGCCUUCUUCAUUGUUUGGGAGGAAAAACUCAAAAGAUUUGUAUGUCUUGACCAUGUUCCGGCGAUACUGACCGACGUUGAAUUCUGA